GUGCUGGCUUUGGCAGCACAUAUACUAAAAUUGGAACAAUACAGAGGAGAUUAGCUUGGCCCUAGCACAAGCAUGACACACAAAUUAUGUUUCUUUAAACACUUAUUU